rnacentral:rRNA from 1 species
UGGGGAAUAUUGCGCAAUGGACGAAAGUCUGACGCAGCGACGCCGCGUGGGUGAUGAAGGCCUUCGGGUCGUAAAGCCCUGUUGAGGGAGAGAAAGCUACUGUCGGUUAAUACCCGGCAGUGGUGAUAGUAUCCCUAGAGAAAGCACCGGCUAACUACGUGCCAGCAGCCGCGGUAAUACGUAGGGUGCAAGCGUUGCUCGGAAUUACUGGGCGUAAAGGGAGCGCAGGCGGUUUUGUAUGUCGCAGGUGAAAUACUCCGGCUUAACUGGAGAAACGCCUGCGAAACUGCAGGACUAGAGGACAGGAGAGGUGGACGGAAUUCCCGGUGUAGCGGUGAAAUGCGUAGAUAUCGGGAGGAACGCCGAAGGCGAAGGCAAUCCACUGGACUGUUCCUGACGC